AUCAAUGUAUCGGUGACAAUAUGUGCUGGUCAGGAAUAUUAGGAGUGUUUAUAGUGUUGUAUAAGUCAACACAAGCUGAGAUAUACAACAUAAGUGGAUACUCAACCGAAUGGCGGAAUGCAAAUUGUACUAAGGCAGAGCCAAUGCUUUCUUACAAUAUCUUCGUCUUUGCAGUAAACGAAGUAAACUAGCGACUUCAGACGUUUGGAUAGGCUAUUUCAAAGCAAAAGUUGCGCGGUGGUUCAAAAUGAGCAAACGUACCCAGUUACACGUAUCGGGUACUGCAAAAGUAUUUGUGUCAAUACAACACUAUUUGGAAUACAGACAACUCAAGGCCAUGAUAUAUUUAAUC